rnacentral:rRNA from 1 species
GACGAACGCUGGCGGCGUGCUUAACACAUGCAAGUCGAACGGAAAGGCCCUGCUUUUGUGGGGUGCUCGAGUGGCGAACGGGUGAGUAACACGUGAGUAACCUGCCCUUGACUUUGGGAUAACUUCAGGAAACUGGGGCUAAUACCGGAUAGGAGCUCCUGCUGCAUGGUGGGGGUUGGAAAGUUUCGGCGGUUGGGGAUGGACUCGCGGCUUAUCAGCUUGUUGGUGGGGUAGUGGCUUACCAAGGCUUUGACGGGUAGCCGGCCUGAGAGGGUGACCGGCCACAAUGGGACUGAGAGACGGCCCAGACUCCUACGGGAGGCAGCAGGGGGGAAUAUUGCACAAUGGGCGGAAGCCUGAUGCAGCAACGCCGCGUGCGGGAUGACGGCCUUCGGGUUGUAAACCGCUUUCGCCUGUGACGAAGCGUGAGUGACGGUAAUGGGUAAAGAAGCACCGGCUAACUACGUG